rnacentral:rRNA from 1 species
GACGAACGCUGGCGGCGCGCUUAACACAUGCAAGUCGAACGGAAAGGCCUGCUUUCCCUUGUGGAUUGCGGGUACUCGAGUGGCGAACGGGUGAGUAACACGUGAGUGAUCUGCCCCCAACUUGGGUAUAAGCCUGGGAAACUGGGUCUAAUUCCCGAUAGGACUGCAGGGUGGUGCCUGUGGUGGAAAACGAUUUUCUAGUGGUUGGGGAUGAGCUCGCGGCCUAUCAGCUUGUUGGUGGGGUAAUGGCCUACCAAGGCGGCGACGGGUAGCCGGCCUGAGAGGGUGGACGGCCACAUUGGGACUGGGUUACGGCCCAGACGCCUACGGGAGGCAGCAGUGGGGAAUAUUGCACCAUGGGCGGAAGCCUGAUGCAGCGACGCCGCGUGGGGGAUGACGGCCUUCGGGUUGUAAACUCCUUGCGACCGCGAGGAAGCCACCUGGUUGGAAGGGUGGUGACGGUAGUGGUAGAAGAAGCACCGGCUAACUACGUG